GACGUAGGAUGCAAGCGUUGUCCGGAUUUAUUGGGCGUAAAGAGUUCGUAGGCUGUUUGUUAAGUCUGAUGUUAAAGACUGGGGCUCAACCUCGGAAAUGCAUUGGAUACUGGCAGACUGGAGUGCAGUAGAGGCUAGUGGAAUUCCCAGUGUAGCGGUGAAAUGCGUAGAUAUCAGGAGGAACACCGGUGGUGUAGACGGCUUUCUGGACAAUCACUGACGCUGAGGUACGAAAGCGUGGGUAGCAAACAGG
rnacentral:rRNA from 1 species